rnacentral:misc_RNA from 1 species
CUAAUCUCAUAUCGAAGGUCAUAUAGAUUUUGUCCACAGAUUACAGCCAUGGUCUGACCAUGGGCUUUGUCCAAAAGGUCUUCUACCUGCUUUUUACCAUUUUGACGUCACUGUCCCGCGCUCUUGGUUGUACAAGAAAGGUUUAUAUUGCCUGCAGGAAACCUGCGCCUUGCGGAAAAUAGAAAUUGAAACAAUAUGGCGAAAAUGGACUGGUCUUUCCUCUACACAUUGGUGUUAGCUCUCUUCUCAAUGUUUGGGAUGAGCUUCGCCUGCUGUUGCUGCAAGAAAAAAAUACCAUGUUCUGGACGAGCGCCGUGUCGACGAGGACCCUUCAGAAAUUAACUACAAUCGAGGAAUUUUACCAUAUACCAAUAUUAGAAGAAAUAUCUUUCAAUAAACGAAUCUAACGUUGCCUAUAUUUUUAUAUUUAAUACAAUAUAUUGUAGAUUUUUAAACAAUAAAUGAAACCGUUGACGAUCUAAUA